AAUAAUACCUUGAGGGAUUCUUCAGAAUAUGCACUGGAGCUGCAUUCCAUGCACCAACUGAGGAAGAAGAUCUGGAUGAUGAAGUGGCUUGAUUAAACCUUUAGUAGCUUGCAUGAAUGUCAAUCAAAAGAAUGGAGAGCAGGUAUCCUGCUGCUAACCAUUAUCUCACUGUAAAGGUGGGGGAAGCAGCUUUCUUUCAAACCAUGCUACUCUAAAACAGGUAAGGGCAUCAGGAACUGGAAUGGUAAAGUUACAAAUGUUUUUGUUCAUUUAAUCUCCUGCUUUUGCAAUACAUAUCUUGGGAAUCCAUAAUGCUGUGAAAAGACGAGGGACCUCUAGCUAGUAACUUCAAACCAGGUGCAUUCCAUAUGAACAAUAGUGAAAAUGAGUCUUACUCCUAAAUACAGGUGAUGUGGAUUCUUGAUCACCUAUAUUUUGCACGUGUGCUCUUGAUCUCUUGUACAAAAGAGAUACGGGGGGGGGGGGGGGGUGGAAACCCUGCAGCAUCUCAUAAUUAAAGUUAUUUUCCAAUACAAGAUAACUGGCUCUGUAAACAAUUCUGAAAAUGUAAAGUUGUUUGCUUUCACACCUGAUUCUAUAGACUUAGCUUAGCAAUCACCUUAGCUGGAUUAAUAUUGAACAGCUAAAAAUAGAGUAGAACACAGGGGAAAUCAGUUUUAAAGCACAGAAAAUGCAAAUUAGUUAGUAACACUGGAAAAGACUGACUAAAGAAAUAUAGAGAGGGAUUUAGUUUUGCUUGUGGGGUUUUGAAGAAUUCAAAUAAUUGAUUAAUCCUGUACUGAGGAGGAUCAAAUAAUAUUUCUACAGUGCAACUAUUCAAACCUCUAGCUAAAAUCACAGUCUCAACGGCAAAUUAAGAACCUAACCCUCCAUAAAGCUAAAGGUCUUCAGGCUCUAAACGUAAUGUAUAUUUCCACAAAACAGUUUACUAGGUAGAUGUAAUCUUCACAUUGAUCUGUAUUUAAUUUUCAGUUGUGUUUCAAUUCUGUUUACAUAAAUUUCUUGAUAUUCCACUGGUAAUACAUUGGAAUAGAUGCUGUCUCUCCACAUACACCUAGGCACGAUUUAAGACAGAAAUAUUAAUUUAUAUAAUGAUCUAGGAACCAGGUACCUAAGCUGCAUUGCUCUGCUGUCAUUGUCAAAGCAGACAGGGUGACUGGGGUUCUGCUGACUAACUCUCCAUUAGCCAUCUAGGAGAACAAGACCACGUUCUUGGAGGACACUUACCAGAUAUUAGAAAAUAUAAAUCUUGCUAUGGAAGAGAAACACUUAGUGCAAAUCAUCAACAGACACAUGUAGCUUUGCAUGUUUUAUGUGCAGACCCAAGCAGGAGAUAAGCUCCUUUUAAUGGGCAGAAUUCUAGACUCUUUAAUGUAGAAGGCAAUCAAUUUUUUUCCACCUAAGAUUGAAAAUCAACAGCCAGUCAAAACCACUGAGUAAGAGAAGACAAAGAAUCGGAAUCGAUCAUGCAGUACUACUAGCAACUAGGCUCAUGUCUGCAAAACAGAAAGGAGAGGAAAAAACAAGCUGUAACAAUCGCCUGCGUUCACAGUGCAGUACUAAGAUGCUUUGGACUCUCAAUAGUAAAUGAGAGGCAAAGAUACUGAUCCCUACAACCUGACAACAUUUUACAAGGAACGGGUCUGAGAAAAUCUCUCCUUCACAAUGUACAAAUGCCAUGCAGGGUUAAAAGACAAGGGCACAGGGAAUCUGUGCUGCACACAUCACACAUACUGAAGAUGAAAUAAUUCCUUUGUGGUCAGGCUGCUUUGAAGCUUAAAGAAAAAGCAUUACAGUUGCUAGCUAAGGAGGGGGAAAGGAAAACGGGAGGAGAGGGGGUGGCUUGAAAUUCCAAAGCCUAUUAAAGUCAUAAAAAAAUAAAGGCUUAAGUGGCAACAAAUGGCUUUUCACCUCCAGAUCAUUUGAUUGGUGUCUGUCACAAUAUAAUACAAGCUGGAUUACAGUUCUUAGAAAGUUGGUGCUCUCAUUAGGAUGGCAUCCAUACCAUAAAUUAAAACCGCUGCUGGCAGUGCCUACAACAGCAGUUUGCUGAAGACCAGGUGGCCAUAAGCCGUGUUUGUGUCUAAUCCCAGCCAUGAAGGCCUCAGGACAAGGAGCUGUCAUCUUGCUGGCCUCUGUGAGCGCCUACAACACCUACUGCAUGCCGAUACACAAAUCCUUAUUUCUCCUCUAACUUGUCUCAGGUCAGGUCUCAGACAGCUGAGCGCAGUCCAGCAGCUUUGCCCUGCACCUGAAUUCCAGCAGCAGCACUGACAGGGCUGUAAUCCUUACAACCUGGCACUAGCAGGAAGCUUGCUCAGCGUUUCAAAACUGAACAUUUACGACAUUGGUAUUUCAAGCCAAAACACGUUUUAGCACAACAGAAUGGUAUCCAGCACUACCGAAACCCACUGAAGUCCCCUUAGAAAACAAAGCACGCAUAUCUGUCUAAAUCUAGGCACAGUUGCAGCCCAAUCUGCAACUGCCCUGGAGUUCCUAACCAGGAGAAGGAAGCUAACAAGUAGGGAAGUCAGUGAAACGCGAGUGGGAAACAGAGCUCUGCUGGGAUGCCUCAUACUGCAGCUUUUCUCCCAAAUGUGGAAGCCAUUAACUUAAAGAUCCAACAACGAGUGAAUAAACUGAGGAAAUAAGGAAUAAAGAAAUGAUAGAGGAAUUUAGCGUUUGGAAGGAAGAAUAACAGGUUUAGAUGAAGCUAGAUGAAGUAGCAGAAAUGAAAAGCUUAAAGCACUCUCGAGUGCUUUUGAAAAAUAAAGUGCAUGCAGUAAUUCUGCACUUGCAGGCAACUAAAGGAAGUGGCAUGUACAAUCAUGCCUGAAAGAUUAAAACUUCUGGUGGCAGCUCCAGAGACCUCAGCGCGUUACACUUCGACAGGCAGCCCAGUCAUCCAGGGAGACAAGUUGUGUGACUUACUAUCCAAGGCACUAAAAGCACCCCUUGAGAAAAUCAGUUUGAAGCCCCUAAAAGGCAAGCCCCCAGCUGGAAGAGCAAAAGACAUGAGAGGAGUACGAAAAUGACCCAUUUAAGAGCUUUGUGGUUACUCUGACAACUGCACCCUAGCAUCAGAACGGCGAAGUUGGGUCAAAAGGUGAUUGCUUACAGAUUAUAUCACCUCCAGGAAACAGCUUAAUUCACAGGCAGAUUCCACAUUCUGUUGAAGAAAAAAUACAAAUGCUGUGCUGAACGUGUCGGCUGGCUUCGCUUCAUUUUCAUAGGCAGCCUUCAGUCAGCCUGCCUCAGCUCUGGCACAGCAACCUUACACUGAAGGCAAGUGCUGCAAGAAUUCCUGGGGUGGACACAGGACAUUGUUGCCUUGCUAUUUAAGUAUCUAAAAGAUGUUCCAGUGAUCCACUUUGGUAGAUGUAGGGCAUCCACCCCUGAGGGGCCGUGAGCCCAGCCCAGCCAGACAAUUCACCCAGCUCUCCCUGGCUCUUUCCCUCUGCACCAGUAGGCAGAGCAAGGACGGAGCCCAUGGCAGAAGCAGGUGGGCAAGCACAGGCUGUGGGGGCUUCUUGGGGUGCAGGGGCACUGCCACGGCCAGCAAGGGCACCAGCAGAAAGCUGUGGCAGCACUGUGAGGAUUUCUGACCCUAUUCCGAACAGUGUGUUUAUCCGGGCUAUUGCAAUGUGCCUGAUCAUUACCAGCUAAAAUGUUGAGCUAUUUUCACAGGCAGAAAAUAGCAGAUUACCUGAGAAAAGGAGGAGGGAUAUUAUUUCCCACAGAAAAAAAUAAGUUAACCUUUCACAUGCUGCAUUUCUGGAAACUUAGUCAGCAACUUGAACUUCUGUUCUUACUUUGAAGAAAAUACAGCAACCGUGGCAGACUGCACACACCACCCUACUCCCCCCCCCUUCUUUUGUAAAACAAAAAACAAGCAAACACAAACAAAAACCCUCACUUAAGGCUACUCCAUUUAAAGCCUUGGUAGUUCAACUCAGACAGAUUUAUUAACAAUAGCUGUACGGGAGCAGCUAUUCCUCAUCCACCUGAGCUGAGCUCCUGGUCAGUUCUGCCUCUUCAAAGCUAUGAAAAUAAAAUAUUAUGUCCACACUGCUGGGCCGUGAUGCUGACUUUGCCUCAAGUGCUAUUCAUGUCUCCACGGCUCCUGAAGCCAUUUAUCGUACAUCUGCUGCCCACCACCUGAAGCAGCACUAACACCUUUCCCUUGACACCAAUAAACAUAUUUGCUGCUGUUAGCUUCCAGUGGAGGACCUCCAAAGCUUCCUGGAGCACAGCUCAAGGAGCAUUUCUCUGCAGAAACCUGCAACAACAAUUUAAACUCUGCUAUCAAAGAUACGAGUUGAUUCUUGCGUGUCUGGCAGAAAUUAUUUUCCAGAUUUGGUCAUUCUCAGGGGUAUUAAGAUCAAUAUGUAGACUGUAGGAACGAUCAAAGCCAGGCAAAAAUUGAAAGCUGUUUUUUGGGCAGCUCCAAAAUCAGGCAAGCAUCCUCAUUUUAAAUAAAAGGCACAACAUUUCAAAAAUGUUUAUUCUGGUCCCUAUCAAUCUUAAUUAUUUAUACCAUUUUAUAAAACAAUGGCAAAAUAUUUUUUAAUUUCAACUAAAAUAGAUUUAAAGUUCAACAUCAAAAAAUACUUAAGAAUAAAAAACUAGCAAUUUUGACUCUUCUAACCAGUCUUGUUCUGAUUAUUGCCAGUCCAUCUAGUACAGUGCUAGUGGCCUCUUGUGAGACAGUUUCGGGAAAACUAUGAAGUAGUAACAAUAUUUUUCACAUCAGCUCUGAUGCUGAGCACAACAAAUCCUCACCUGCACAUUCUUCUCAGAAGGAACCACUCUGAAUCAGGGGCUGAGGAUAGAACAGUCUGUGAAAGCAGGUCAGAGUCCAAAAAGGCAUCACGCAGCCGAACUGUCUGCACCCACCAGAAAGUGCUGUUACCAGCCAGUUGUGUAAAUGCACUGAAAUCUGACCUUCUAUACAAACGAAAUUUUCUAAAGUAGAAAGUCGUUUCACUGCCCAACAUUUCCACUGCAUUAAUUGCUUAUAGUUUUAUAUCAUAUUGUCCAGAUACCUCAUACUGCCUGAAAGAAGUUUUCUCUCCUGCAGCUCCUCUUAACACAAAAGUAAGUCAAGCCACCAUCAAAAUUGCAUAACAUCUUUGGACUUCUUUUGAACCUUAAAUCCAUGCAUAUUUAAACAUGAGAUAAUCCGCAGUUCUCUUCUCAGGCAUACUAUCAUCCGUUAAACACUCACUAUGUGCUAAGAAAAUAAUUUAAUAAGGACAUUUUUAACGGAGGAGAGGGGGUCUGACGUGCACUGCUGCCACAUCAGAGACCUCUUUUGCUUUGGAUGGCUUCCAUGGUAAUUCUUAUCUCCCAUUUGUGGGGCUAGCAAUCCCACUAUGCCAAGACAAACGAGCUCGGCUCUUCUAUAGCGCGUGCUGAGUAAAACUCUCCAGUGAAAAUACGGUGUCACACGUCAUCUGAAGAAACAAGCGGUGUAAAAACAGUGCUAAGGGUUAUCCUUAGCUAACUAACAAAGCUUCUCAGAAGCUUCUUAAAGCUUCUCAAAGUUGCUUAACCAGUGUCAAGGAAUCACCUUUUAAUUAGCAACUUCAAAAUAGAUUGAAGAUUAAUCCUAACAAUAGCCUUACAAACUAGUCAAACACUGUUACACCUUGGGAAACCAAGACAGGAAGGUUGGAUGACAGACAGACAGCAAGUCACGGCAGAGCCCAGAUUUAAAUCCAGGCUGACAGAGGAAUUCUGGCAGAUCCAGCAGCACUGGUUUAAAACUUCACUGCCUACAGCUGUCCUCCCCAUUCCUCUCCCAGAGGUUAUUUUUCUCUCAGGCUCAGCAGAAGGAAGUAUGUCACCACACUGCAGCCAUCCCAGUUCGGCCUGGCACACUACCUGGAGUCACAGAAGAUAGCUAAGGUGCCAAAACUAUUAAUUGCAAAAGCUAGAUUAUGGGUAUAAAUUCUCUUCUUCUCUUCAAGAGAGCAGCUUCUGAAAGGGAGGCCAACAGUAAAGUCAGACCACUCCAAUUUUCAGAAUACAAUCCUCAGAGCCCGAUUUAUGCUCAUCUCCCCAAUUUAUACUUAUAUUCUUUACCCUGUAUGACUUGCAAGAAUUGGACUUCAUUCUCAACUUGACUUGCACUGCAUCUUUUACUAUGUCGGCAAGGUUAAGAAAUUUAUCUCUGAUUCUUUAAGCCCAGAACACACCUUGGUUAGGAACAUAAAUUGCAGAAUAUUCUUCCUGAGAAAAUACAAAAGUCUAUUCUGACCCUGGGACCUGUGCCUGUCGCGAGCUGAAGCCAGCAGAGCCGGACAUCUGACCUCACCACAGCACCCACAAAGCCUUCCAGUACCAACCUCAGUAAAUUCAUGCUACAGGAUUCUGUUUGAAAGCAAUGGUACUUUCUCCUUUUUCCUUUAAGUCCAGGGGAUUACUGUGAAGGCUUUAAAGCAGUUUAUUAGCUGUCUAAAAAAACAGAAGGACACAGAGGCUUUUGCUAGGAGAGCGUGAGACAGCGAAGAGAUGCAACAGUUCUGAAGAACCUCACAGCAAGAUGUGUUCCAACUGUACGGUCUGAGAUCUUGCGCUUUAGGCAUGCUAUCCACCAGCCUUUCUUCCCUUCAGUGAUGAAUCUAGUCUCUCACUAAUAUAAUCACUUUCCCCUAUAUGCUGUUGCCAGAAGGAGCACGUCCUUUAAAAAAAAAAAAAAAAAAGUCUGGAUUUGUUUUGCUGUUGCAAGUUUGUGAUUGGUCUGACAGUCUGCGUCUAUGAGGCUUCCUAAAGGCAGCUUGCUCUGGUUUCAGCACUCUCACUCUCCCAAAUUAUUUCUCAACAAGAAGCGGGGAUACAUUUGGGGCUGCUCCUCAUGUAUUAAUCUUCAGGAAAGCCAAAAGGGAGCAGGACUGAAAGAAAGAAUGAGGCAAACUAAGAUAAAUAGCAACAAUAAUACCAAGCAUUUCUAUCUGCAGGAGCACAAAAGGCAGAAACUGGACAUCUGAAAUUCACAAUAUCCUUAUAGAAGGACACAAGUUAGAAGGACAAGCUCAUUUUACUAAUGAGACAACUCAAUACAUCCUUUGUCGUGGGAUUUACUGCCAGCUCUGCCCCCGGAAUUCCCAAGUCCCUCUCUAGAGGUACAGUCUAAGGAGGUGUGCAAGAUGGGGCAGAUCUGAAUAGAGACUCUUACAGCAAACUGGUAAAAACAACAAGCAAGCGAAAAACCUAGUGGUGUACUGGACCAAACAGAUGCAUUUGAGAAUGUUUAAGUUGCUGGUUCACAUCACUGUAAGGCUGCUGUUUGUCAUCUUAAAGGUCAGGGCAAUCAGAGGAGGUUCUUGAUGACUGGAAAAAAGCCAAAUGUCAUCCUCAUCUUCAAGAAGGUCAAGGAGGAAGAGAUGGGGAACUACAGGAUGCUUAGCUGUACCUCAUUCCCCAAGAAAAUAUGGAGCAAAUCCUUUGGGACUCCACACCCAACACUUCAAACAAAAGAAAGUGAUUGAAAAUAGACAGCAUAGAUCUAAUUAGGUCAAAUAAUUGAUACCUAACCCAGUUAACAGCUGGCUAGAAAACAGCUUUGGAGAAAAAAGUACAGGAGCCCUCACAGGCAACAAGCUGAACCAGAAUCAACGGGGUGUCCCAGCAGUGAUGAGAACUAAUGGCAUAUCGGUGUGAGUAAAAGCACAACCAACAGACUUAGGGAAGCAAUCACUCCAAACUAUCUCGUACCCGUGAGACUGAAUCCACAGUACUGUGUCUGGUUUUGGACUCCCCAAUUCAUAAAGGAUUUACUGCACUGACAUACUUGGAUCAAGUCCAGGAGAAGAUGAUCAAGAUGCUUGGGGGCUGGCGCACAUAUAUUGUGAUGAGAGGUUAAGACAGCCAGUUUCCUCAGUCUGAGGAAGAGAAGCACAAUACAGUUGAUGUCUUCAACUAUCUAAUAGAUGAAGACAGAGUUACUUAAAGAGAAAACAGAGCUGGACUCAACUCAGAAGAACACAGCAAAAAAGCUACACACAAUUCAUACGAGUUGCAGAGAGAGAAAUACCAAUCAGACAUAUGCAAAAGAUUACAGUUGAUGGUGUACUCAAAGACUGGAACAGGUGCCCAGAGAGGUCGUAAAAUCUCCAUCCUCAGAGAUGCUCAAAACUUGAUCAGAGAAGACCCUGGCAAGCCCAAUCUAACUGCAGAGAUGACCUUACUUUCAGUAGGGAACCAAACCUGAUGACCUCUGAAAGUUGUUUCUAACUUCUAUUAUUCAGUAAUUGUAACAGAGGCACAGAAGCAAUAAAUUACUUGAACUCUG